GUAGCGACUGCGAAAUUAAUGCGACACGCAACACGUGAGUCAUCGAGUCUUUGAACGCAUAUUGCACCCAAUAGGUUUACUUAUUGGGUCUGCCUGUCUGAGUAUCAAUACGGACCCACUCAAUAAAUAAUAUUUGUUGACUGGUGCUCAUUACUAGCAUUUGUUAGUAGUGGAUAUGAGUGUUUAAUGGCCAUUAGGUUGUUAAUCACUUGAAAUGUAUUGGUUUGAAUCAACGUGUUUAGUUGAUAAUUGCCAAUAGCUAGUAAAGCAUUGUUAAUCAUCUUUAAGUAGAUGUUCAUUGUUUUAUUACGUUGGAUUAACAAUUGUCGACCGCAUUCCUUACCGAGUGUGUCACGCUAGUUGAUUUAUUUGUAACCAUUUGAACACUUGCCAUUACAACCACUUGGCAGGCGUCCACUCUAAUACACCCGUAUUAACCAUCUUGAUCUCAGAUCAGGCAGGAUGACCCGCUGAACUUAAGCAUAUUAGUAAGCGGAGGAAAAGAAACUAACCAGGAUUCCCUUAGUAACGGCGAGUGAAGCGGGAAUAGCCCAAUCUGAAAAGCUAGUCUGCCCAGGCGCAGGUCUCGCAUUGUAGGUUGAUGAAGCGUUUCCUAGUGUUAAACCUUCCAGUUAAAGUUCCUUGGAACAGGACAUCAAAGAGGGUGAUAAUCCCGUAACUAGCUGGACGACAUAACAGUUUAACACGCUUACGGAGCGUUUUCUUAGAGUCGGAAUGUUUGGGAUUGCAUUUCAAAGUGGGUGGUAAACUCCAUCUAAAGGCUAAAUACUGGCGAGAGACCGAUAGCGAACAAGUACCGUGAGGGAAAGUUGAAAAGCACUCUGGAGAGAGAGUCAAACAGUACGUGAAAUUGCUAGCAGGGAAACGUUGGGCACCAGUACACGGCAAUCAAUGUUAAUGAUCAGUCGGUCGGUCGGUGGGUUGUAAGUGUGGUGUUUAUUCUUUGAAGAUUAUCCUUGCGGUAACUUACGCAUUACAAACAGCUGGCUGACCGGUGCACUCUUUAGCAGCCGGGUCAACAUCGGUUAACGACGUCCGACAAGUCAGUGGACAAGGUAGCAUUGGUAGGUUCGCCUGCCUUUGAACUUAUAGGUCUGCCGUACGAGGAUGUUGUUGACCGAGGAAAGCGACUCGUGCGUUUCGGCGCAGGGCGUAUUGGUUAGGUCAAGGUCGCCCGUGGUGCUAAGCAGCAUGCUGAUUAGUAUUCAUUUUACUGCACUUGUGCAGUAGCGGCGGUCGUCUAGCCGAUGCAAGCCACUAGCGAGUCAAUGAA
rnacentral:rRNA from 1 species